rnacentral:rRNA from 1 species
CUUUACUACAACUCUAUAGUGCUAGUAUAAAUGACAUGUGUAGCAUAUGUGGGAGUUUAAAAGAUUUAGAUGCUAGUCUAAAUUCUAAACCAAAAUGAAAUACCACACUUGAAUUUUGUAAUAGCUAACGAUAAUAUCGGACCCUGUAAAGUGGGUAGUUUGACUGGGGCGGUCUCCUCCCAAAGAGUAACGGAGGAGUGCGAAGGUAAGCUCAAGCUGGUCGGAAAUCAGCUGUUGAGUGUAAUGGCAUAAGCUUGCUUGACUGUAAGACAAACAAGUCGAACAGAGACGAAAGUCGGUCAUAGUGAUCCGGUGACCCUGUGUGGAAAGGUCAUCGCUCAACGGAUAAAAGGUA